GCCUACGGGAGGCAGCAGUGAGGAAUAUUGGUCAAUGGGCGCAAGCCUGAACCAGCCAAGUCGCGUGAGGGAAGACGGCCCUACGGGUUGUAAACCUCUUUUGCCGGGGAGCAAGCCUGAGCACGUGUGCCCAGGCGGAGAGUACCCGGAGAAAAAGCAUCGGCUAACUCCGUGCCAGCAGCCGCGGUAAUACGGAGGGGGCAAGCGUUAUCCGGAUUUACUGGGUGUAAAGGGAGCGUAGACGGUGCGCCAAGUCUGGAGUGAAAUGCCGCAGCUUAACUGCGGAACUGCUUUGGAAACUGGCG
rnacentral:rRNA from 1 species